rnacentral:rRNA from 1 species
UGGGGAAUUUUGGACAAUGGGCGAAAGCCUGAUCCAGCAAUGCCGCGUGUGUGAAGAAGGCCUUCGGGUUGUAAAGCACUUUUGUCCGGAAAGAAAUCCUUGGCUCUAAUACAGUCGGGGGAUGACGGUACCGGAAGAAUAAGCACCGGCUAACUACGUGCCAGCAGCCGCGGUAAUACGUAGGGUGCAAGCGUUAAUCGGAAUUACUGGGCGUAAAGCGUGCGCAGGCGGUUUGCUAAGACCGAUGUGAAAUCCCCGGGCUCAACCUGGGAACUGCAUUGGUGACUGGCAGGCUAGAGUAUGGCAGAGGGGGGUAGAAUUCCACGUGUAGCAGUGAAAUGCGUAGAGAUGUGGAGGAAUACCGAUGGCGAAGGCAGCCCCCUGGGCCAAUACUGACGCUCAUACACGAAAGCGUGGGGAGCAAACAGGAUUAGAUACCCUGGUAGUCCACGCCCUAAACGAUGUCAACUAGUUGUUGGGGAUUCAUUUCCUUAGUAACGUAGCUAACGCGUGAAGUUGACCGCCUGGGGAGUACGGUCGCAAGAUUAAAACUUAAAGGAAUUGACGGGGUCAUAGCUGUUUCCU